rnacentral:lncRNA from 1 species
CUAAUCUUUCUCUAACUGCUCCGUACAGAACAGAACAAUGGCUUUACAGAGGCAACUGCUCAAGAGAGUCGUAGAUCGAGCUUCAACUUCCUCCCGGAUCCAUUCCCCUGCGAUCACCUUCCUCCGCUCUGAUUACUCCACCUCUUCUCCGCCGCAGCUUCCACCGUUUGAUUACCAGGCGCGGCCGUAUAAUGGUCCUUCCGCAGAUGAAGUCUUCCAGAGACGGAAGAAGUUUCUCGGACCUUCUCGUUUCCAUUUCUACCAAAAGCCUGUACGUGAUUUUGACUGCACAAAUCGAAUAGUUGUAUUGAAAGAAUUAAUAUUUUUUUUUUUGCAUUCUUAUGAUCAAUCUUUAGGGUUCUUCUUGAUCUAUUUGUAUUGCUUGCAGCUUAAUAUCGUGGAAGGGAAGAUGCAGUACUUGUUUGAUGAAACCGGUAGGCGAUAUCUCGACGCCUUUGCUGGAAUAGUCACUGUCUCAUGCGGUCACUGCCAUCCCGACAUACUCAACGCUAUUAAUGAACAAAGCAAGCUUCUUCAGCACGCAACAACCAUAUACCUACAUCACGCCAUUGGCGAUUUCGCUGAAGCGUUAGCUGCCAAGAUGCCUGGAAACCUAAAGGUAAUAUAGUGAGGUUUAUGUUUAUUGCUUUUUGUUGAUGAUAAUCAGAAAGCUUCAUUUUUUUUUUUGAACAAAAAAAAACCAGUAAGCUUCAUUAUUUUUGGAUGCAGGUUGUGUACUUUGUGAAUUCUGGCUCAGAAGCUAAUGAGUUAGCAAUGAUGAUGGCUAGGCUUUACACUGGUAGCCUUGAGAUGAUUUCUUUGAGAAAUGCUUAUCAUGGUGGAAGUUCUAAUACUAUUGGACUCACAGCUCUCAACACAUGGAAGUACCCUUUACCACAGGUUUGUUUGACCAUAUAGUGUCUCUAACUUCACCUAUGAGAGUAAAAAUCUAUGCAAUAUAAUUCUAUCUGAUCAUGUGUUUGUAACUUUUGUUAGCCAACUUUGUUAUUAUGCAGGGGGAGAUACAUCAUGUAGUGAAUCCAGAUCCAUACCGUGGAGUAUUUGGUUCUGAUGGUUCUAUGUAUGCUAAAGAUGUCCAAGACCAUAUUGACUAUGGCACUUCUGGCAAAGUGGCUGGAUUUAUUGCAGAGACCAUCCAGGUUUUUUAUUUGUCUAAAAGACGGUGAUGUGCGACUGUGUCAGUACAUCUAUCAGCAAAUCUAAUUCACAUGGAAUCUUAGAAUCAUAUUGCCACGUCAUUAUUACUCAAAAUAUUUGAUACCAUGUACUAAUCUUUACUUAGCAGGCUUAUAAAGACCGUGAUUGGUCCUAAUCUUUCUCUAACUGCUCCGUACAGAACAGAACAAUGGCUUUACAGAGGCAACUGCUCAAGAGAGUCGUAGAUCGAGCUUCAACUUCCUCCCGGAUCCAUUCCCCUGCGAUCACCUUCCUCCGCUCUGAUUACUCCACCUCUUCUCCGCCGCAGCUUCCACCGUUUGAUUACCAGGCGCGGCCGUAUAAUGGUCCUUCCGCAGAUGAAGUCUUCCAGAGACGGAAGAAGUUUCUCGGACCUUCUCGUUUCC